UAAUAAGGGUUUACUAAUUGCUAUUAAAUCCUUAUUUUAAAUUUUUAAAAAUGUUAAAACUAACUUUUCAUAAUUAAUUAUGGAUUUCAAAUUUAUAUAUAAUUAUUUUUUUCAAUUUGUAAAUGAAUAUCGAUGGGGUGUUUAUUUAAUAAUUAGAAAUAAGGUAAAUUAGGUAAAUUGUGCUUUUAUUUCAAUAUCACUUUCAAUAUAAAAAGUGGAUUUUAUGAUAAUAAGAUACAUGCAAAGUAGGUUUAUUCAGAAGCUCUAGCUUCAACAUGCAGAAAAGCACUUUACUCUCCAAGUUUUAUUUAUUCAUAGUACUUCUUGGUGUUAACUUCUUUCAAUAGUCCAUCUGUUGUAUCUGCAAAAAG
rnacentral:lncRNA from 1 species